ensembl:lncRNA
GGUAACCACUGAGUCAUGGCCUGAACCACUAAUUGAGCACCUGGGAAAAGGGCCCAGUUAGCCCUGGGGGCACAGGUGAAAGCAAUGUGACCUGUGUGAAUGGAAGAGGUGGAGCCUCCACCUCUCUUAGACCUCAUUUAAGGGCUGACUGCCACUGGGGAAGGAUCUCUGGUUGGAGAUUCCUCUCAUGGGGAGUUUCCCUUGCAAGCCUACAUCUUCAGAGACAGGGCUUGAGGAGAACAACUUGCACAUUUAUGUCCAGGAUUUUUGGUCUAAUGUCUUUUUCUUUCUGCUAACUCAUUUAUUAUAUGUCUACUCACCACCCUGUGCAAGAGCUGAGCUGGGAGUCCACCAGGUAUUUUGCCAUCCCCAGCCAGACCAAACUUGAAGGAACGGAUAGAGGUCCUGCAGUCCACUGAUCACUGGGGAGGGAAUAUCAGUUUGUGUCCUGCUCAGGAAUUGUAUCUGCACUGAAAUAGAAGAGAAAACCUUAGAAACCUUGUUGGUGUUUGAUGCUACUGAUGUUUGUCACUAAAUGUGGGAUAUGUAGGUAUUCGAGGCCAGGUUGGAUGGGGGCCUUGGGCAACCUGAUCUGGUGCCUGAUUUUGUGGCUGGCAACAUCAGUAGAGUUGGAACUGCAUGAUCUUUAGGGUCCCUUUCAACCCAACCAUUCUAUGAUUCUAUGAUUUUACUUGGUGAGCUGCCAUGUGAAGUGGAUCAUGGUACUGCAGGAAAAUGGAAGAACCAUUGAAACUACUGAUAUCAUUUGUAUAAUAACAGGAUGUCCAGAUAAUAACAGCAGGCUCCUUGAUGAUUGGGUCCAACAUGGGACUAUAGACAGUAGAAGUGUGAAAGCUUUGGCAAAUGCCCACUUCUUUUUGUAGUUGCUCAGGAAUGGGAUAUGGCUUUCCUACUCAAAGCUAAUUCACACCAAAGUCAGGUUACUUGGGAAAAAAUCAGGAGAAAAGAAAAAGAGGAGGCCAUAAAUCAUUGUAAGGCUUGAGGAGAUCAGAUUGAAUUCCUCAGGACCAUGAGUUUGGGGCCAAACACUGGAAUGCAGCAUGUAAUGAACUUGCUUAUCACCCUGGUGCUGUAUCCAAGAG